rnacentral:lncRNA from 1 species
UUGUUGAAAUAUUACUUGACUACAAAGAUAACCCUAAAUAUAAAGGUCAAAAUGGUUGGGUAUCGGAGGGCUGGAGGAUUAUCACCAGCGAGUUCAAUGAGAAGUUUCCCAUCUUCUUAUUUUAGCCGUCUUCUCAUUUUGAAUAUAUUGAUGCUGGUCGAGAAAGAUUAAGCUUAUAUGUAAUAUUCUGCUACUUUGAUAGAUCUGCUCCGUUCUAUUCUCCUGCUGCCG